CCGCGGAGCCGAGGGGCCGCGCUCCACUUCGCUCGGGAGGAGGAGGAGGAGCCGCGCCGAGGGGGAGGGGGAGGGGAGGACCGCGGCGGCGCCGCCAGCCGCUGCCCAGGAAAACGCAGGGCAGGAAGCGUCCCCGGCCCCCCGCCCCAACUGUCAAACCCCAGCCCGGCCGCGGUCCUCCCAGGACACGUGUCUGCCGGAUCGCUCCCUGCCCGACCCGGGGACUUCCUGCAACCCCCGCCUCCCGCUGCCCGAAAACGCGCUGAAGUCCUAACCUCUACCAGAGCGGCUGCUAUCAACCAGAGUGACAGGAGAACCAUCACGAGUCGAGUUCACUUUUCGACUACUGGGCGAAGCCAAUGCUCAGAGCAAACCCCCCAAAAUAAGUUUCUUUAAAAAAAAAA